rnacentral:rRNA from 1 species
GUGUAAUUUGUAGAGGGUGUUUCGGGCACGGCGCCGGUCUAAGUCCCUUGGAACAGGGCGUCGCAGAGGGUGAGAAUCCCGUAUGUGACCGGCGACCAAGCCCGUGUGAAACCCCUUCGACGAGUCGAGUUGUUUGGGAAUGCAGCUCUAAAUGGGUGGUAAAUUUCAUCUAAAGCUAAAUACCGGCCAGAGACCGAUAGCGCACAAGUAGAGUGAUCGAAAGAUGAAAAGCACUUUGGAAAGAGAGUCAAAAAGUACGUGAAAUUGUUGAAAGGGAAGCGUUGGCGACCAGACCUGCCCGCGAGCGAUCAACCGUUGUUCUCAACGGUGCACUCGCUCACGAUCAGGCCAGCAUCGGUUUGGGCGGCCGGAUAAAGGCCGCGAGAAUGUGCCUCCCUUCGGGGAGUGUUACAGCUCGUGGUGCAAUGCGGCCAGCCGGGACCGAGGACCGCGCUUCGGCUAGGAUGCUGGCAUAAUGGCC